AAGUCGUAACAAGGUCUGCCGUUGGUGAACCAGCGGAGGGAUCAUUACUGAGUACUGACGACUCCUCUACCCUUUGUGAACUAUUAUACCUGUUGCUUCGGCGGCCGCCCGCAAGGGUGCCCGCCGGUCUCAUCAGAGAUCUCUGUUUUCGAACCGACGGAUACUUCUGAGUGUUCUUAAGGGAACUGUCAAAACUUUUAACAACGGCGGAUCUCUUGGCUCCAGCAUCGAUGAAGAACGCAGCGAAACGCGACUAUGUAAUGUGAAUUGCAGGAAUUCAGUGAAUCAUCGAAUCUUUGAACGCACAUGGCGCCUUCCAGUAUCCUGGGAGGUCAUGCCUGUCCGAGCGUCGUUUCAACCCUCGAGCCCCUGUGGCCCGGCGUUGGGGAUCUGCCACGGCAGGCCCCUAAAACCAGUGGCGGACCCGAAGGGCCCUCUCCUUUGCGCAGUAGCAUUCGCCUCGCAUCGGGAGUCCUCGGCGUCCUGCCUCUAGAACCCCCACAAGCCCGCUUCGGCGGCACCAAGGGUUGACCGUCGGAUCAGGGUAGGAUACCCGCUGAACUUAAGCAUAUCGAAUAA
rnacentral:rRNA from 1 species